ACAGAUCGAAUGAUCUUCAACAGAAUCGCGAUGUAAAAUUUCUCACCUCAUUGCAAAUUAUUAUUUAUCCAUCUUAGCACCGCUUCAGUUAGCCGCAAACAGCCACACAUACCUAUAUACUCGAUAUAAUCUUUUAGAUUAGAAUCUCUUCUUUCAAACAAGAACAUUUUUACGUUUCUGCGUGCUUCCAUUGGUGAGAUAUAAAGCGUUAUGUCCAGACGCGCUCAAACAUAAAGACGGACUUUUUGAGACAGAAGCGCUCUUCAUAUCAUAAGACAAGCCUAAGCGGCUUUCUUCUGAUAUAUCGAUCUGAUCUCUUUUGUGAACCACUAUUUGUCCCUUCAGCUGUCAGUCUGAGCUGUGUGCUCCACUCAGAGCUGCUGAAUUUGACACCUCUGCGUCAACAGCGGGGGGAUGGAGUGGACAGUGAUGACCACAUCCUCCUCAGCCGGUGAAGCGCUGGCUGAUGGGAUAUUGAGUUCUUAGGUCAGUAAACAAAGAUCACACGCGGAAUAACUCGCGUCGCGGUGAUUAUCAAAUGUAUAAUAAUCAUACUACAAGUUAUGGAUGACCACCGUCGCCGUGGAGAGGACAGGACGCGCAUCUGGUCGUGUACAAGCUUCGGGCAGCGGAUAAGCGCUGAUAAUGCGU